rnacentral:lncRNA from 1 species
AUGAUGGGGCCGGGCCGAGUUACCCGUUGGCAGGGGAGCAGUGUGAUCAGGCAUGGAGGGGUGGACAGAGAGGAGCCCCGAGGUGGAGCUGGGCCCUGAGCGGUGCCGCGCUCCAUGGAGCUGGCAGGAGCUGGAAGCUGGCAAGAGCCCCACCUCCCAGUCGCAGCUGCAGCUGCCCAGCCGUGGCUGUGGACCCAGGCAUCUCUGCAGUCUAAGGGGCCCAGGAAGCCUGUGGGCUUGGAGAUGUCUGCUCCUGCUGCCUGGCCUCUCCCUGCUCCUGGUGCCCGUUCUGAUCUCAGAGCGAGGUUGGGGCCAAGCCUGGGUGCUGUUGCAGCCUGACCGGGUGUGCGCAUGCUUGGGACAGUGGUGACAUGCCAGGCCCCUGCCACUUUGGCCUCCUCUAGACUUCAGGCACUGGCGAGCAUGGGAGGGAGGCUGAGAUGGGGACUGAGGGCAGCUUGGUGUAGGCCUGCAGGUACCCUUUGGCAUGGCCUUGGCAGCUUGAAUGCCAGCAGGAGGCAGACAGGCUCCUGGGCAGAAGGGGGCAGAUGCCCCGUGAAGCCCCACCUUCAGGCUGGGAGGGCCUGAAGCCCGGGGGCUGGGUUGCUGAUCCCGCAGACCAGUGUGGGAACUUGUGACGCGGGUCCUCCCAUGGCUGCCCAUGGACCAAUCGGCACACUCUUCUUCCCCUCUGAGGCCCAUAAAAAGCCUCCCGGACUCUGCCAGACCAGAAGAGAGACGACGGCAUGACCUGCCUACAGGGAGGAACUACCCUCUCUGCUGAGAGCUGAAGGGGUGACAGGAUGAUCUGCCUGCAGAGAGGAGCUACCCUCUCUCCUGAGAACUGAAGAGACGUUGGGAUGACCUGCCUGCAGAGAGGAACUACCCUCUCUGCUGAGAGCUGAACAUUCUUCGGGACAGCCUGCCAAGCAGAGAGGAGCUAUCCUCUCUGCUGAGAACUGAACACUUGUUGGGACACCCUGGCUACAGAGAGGAGGUACUCACUGUAGGUUUCCUCUGAGCUGUUGUGUCGCUCAGUAAAGCUCCUGUUUGUCUUGCUC